UAGGGAAUCUUCGGCAAUGGACGAAAGUCUGACCGAGCAACGCCGCGUGAGUGAAGAAGGUUUUCGGAUCGUAAAACUCUGUUGUUAGAGAAGAACAAGGACGUUAGUAACUGAACGUCCCCUGACGGUAUCUAACCAGAAAGCCACGGCUAACUACGUGCCAGCAGCCGCGGUAAUACGUAGGUGGCAAGCGUUGUCCGGAUUUAUUGGGCGUAAAGCGAGCGCAGGCGGUUUCUUAAGUCUGAUGUGAAAGCCCCCGGCUCAACCGGGGAGGGUCAUUGGAAACUGGGAGACUUGAGUGCAGAAGAGGAGAGUGGAAUUCCAUGUGUAGCGGUGAAAUGCGUAGAUAUAUGGAGGAAAACCAGUGGCGAAGGCGGCUCUCUGGUCUGUAACGGACGCUGAGGCUCGAAAGCGUGGGGAGCAAACAGG
rnacentral:rRNA from 1 species